GGAACCCACCUCUUGCAUCAGCAUGACCUGGAUGUGAGAUCUGGAGUCAAAGGAGAUCAUUUUGGAGCUUGAACCUUUGCCUGCCCCGCUGGAUUUAAGAUUUGCAUGGGCCCUGUAACUCCUUUGUUUUGGCCAUUUUCUCCCAUUUGGAAUGGCUGUUCUCAUCCAAUGCCUGUACCUCCACUGUAUCUUGGAAGGAACUAACUUGCAUUUGAUUUUACAGACUCAUAGGUGAAAGGGACUUGUCUUGUCUCAGAUGAGACUUCGGACUUGGACUUUCAACGCUGAGUAAGUUAAGACUUUGGGGGACUGUUGGGAAGGCAUGAU